CAAUAGCGUAUAUUAAAGUUGUUGCAGUUAGAACGCUCGUAGUCGGAUUUCGGGGCGGGCCGACCGGUCUGCCGAUGGGUACGCACUGGUCGGCGCGUCCUUCCUUCCGGAGACCGUGCCUACUCUUAACUGAGCGGGGGCGGGAGACGGAACGUUUACUUUGAAAAAAUCAGAGUGUUUCAAGCAGGCAGUGCGCUCUUGCAUGGAUUAGCAUGGGAUAAUGAAAUAGGACUUUGGUGCUAUUUUGUUGGUUUCGAACACCGAAGUACUGAUUAAAAGGGACAGUCAGGGGCACUCGUAUUCCGCCGAGAGAGGUGAAAUUCUCAGACCAGCGGAAGACGAACCACUGCGAAAGCAUUUGCCAGGGAUGUUUUCACUG
rnacentral:rRNA from 1 species